CCUACGGGUGGCAGCAGUGAGGAAUAUUGGUCAAUGGGCGGAAGCCUGAACCAGCCAAGUAGCGUGCAUGAUGACGGCCCUACGGGCUGUAAACUGCUUUUAUACGGGAAUAACGCGCCUUACGUGUAGGGCUUUGCAUUUACCGUAUGCAUACGGACCGGCUAAUUCCGUGCCAGCAGCCGCGGUAAUACGGAAGGUCCGGGCGUUAUCCGGAUGGAUUGGGUUUAGAGGGAGCGUAGGCGGCAUGUCACGCGUGCUGUGAAAUGUGCGGGCUCAACCCGGGCCUUGCAGCGCGAACUGGAGGAAUGGCGUCCGCAGAAGGCAGGCGGAAUU
rnacentral:rRNA from 1 species